rnacentral:lncRNA from 10 species
CUACCAAAGCCGUGGCGCAUCUCGGUUUGUGGGACUUUCUUCAACCCAGGAUGUGGGCACACAGCUGCUUGGCUGGCCUGGUGAUGUGUCUGCCAGGGGUGACCCACAACAUGCUUUCUUUGGUUUAGGAUGCAGGCAUAAAGCUGCUUGGGUCUAGGGUGUGUCUGCUCUGGGUGAUUCACAGAGUUUCUUAGGCCCAGGACACAGCUGCCCAGUUUCUCAGUUGGCCUGGGGCAUGUUUGUUGGGGGUGGUCCCUGAGGUUUCUCAGGCUCAAGACGUGAUCACAUGGCUUCUUGGCUGGUGUGAGUGCACAUCUGCUGAGGAUGGUCCAGGGGGCUGUUCCUCUGGCUCAGGAUGCUGGUACACAACUGUUUGAUUGGCCUGCGGACAUGUCUGCCAUUGGCGGCCCAUGGGGCUGCUUUUCACGCCCAGGAUGUGGGCACAAGUCUGCUUGGCUGGCCCAGGGGCACGUCUGCUGGGGGUGGCCCGCAAGUUAUUUCUCAGAUCCAGUGCAUGGGUGCAUGACUGCUCUGCUGCCUGGGUUGGGCACAAGGCUAUUUCUCAGACCUAUGACAUAUCUGCAUUGCUGCUCAAAUGGCCUAGGGGCAUUUCUGUGGGUGGUGGCCCAUGAGAUUAUUUCGUAGGCCUGGGCAAGGAGCACAGGACUGCUUAGUCAGCUUGUGGUUGUGUCCACUACAGGCAGCCUGCAGGGCUGUUUUUCAAUCUAGGACACGGACACACAGCCGGUCAGUUGUCCUGGGGGAUGACUGUCAGGGGCAGCCCACAGGGCUGUUUCUCAGGUCUGGGAUUCAAGUGCAUGGCUGCUCAGCUGGCUCAGGGGCACGCCCACAAGGGGCAGCCUGCGGGACUGCUUUUUAAGUCCGGCAUAUGGGCUCUUGGCUGCUUGGCUGCCCUGGAGACGUGCCACCAGUAGUGACCUACAGGACUCUUUCUUAAGCUCUUAUCGGAGACACAGGCCCACUGGGCAGGAAGUCCCUCCUGUCUUCAGGCCAAUCCGAUUUGGGAAAAGCAGAUGGGGCUGUAGAGGCCGGGUGCCUCCAUGCUGCUCUUCCGGACUUCUGUCACUGCAGAUUCAUCCCACUCCCCCACUGUACUCCAGUGCUCUCCCUUCGACACUCCAGUCAAAGUGAGCUGUUUAUUCAUUGCCUUGGGCCUUUCUUGUUGGGCGGGACAAGCAGCAGGUGUCUCUAGUCAGCCAUCUUGCUGACAUUACUCCUGGCUCCAAUUCUUUUUUUUUUUUUUUUUUUUUGAGACGGAGUCUCGCCUUGUUGCCCAGGCUGGAGUGCAGUGGCGCAAUCUCAGCUCACUGCAACUUCUGCCUCCCGGGUUCAAGUGAUUCUCCUACCUCAGCCUCCCGAGUAGCUGGGAUUACAGGUGUCUGCCACCAUGCUCGGCUAAUUUUUUGUAUUUUUUUAGUAGAGAUGGGGUUUCACCAUGUUGGCCAGGCUGGUC